rnacentral:misc_RNA from 1 species
GAUGAAGAACGUAGCGAAAUGCGAUAAGUAAUGUGAAUUGCAGAAUUCAGUGAAUCAUCGAAUCUUUGAACGCACAUUGCGCCCCUUGGUAUUCCAUGGGGCAUGCCUGUUCGAGCGUCAUUUGUACCUUCAAGCUUUGCUUGGUGUUGGGUGUUUGUCUCGCCUUUGCGUGUAGACUCGCCUUAAAAUAAUUGGCAGCCGGCGUAUUGAUUUCGGAGCGCAGUACAUCUCGCGCUUUGCACUCAUAACGGCAGCGUCCAAAAGUACAUUUUACACUCUUGACCUCGGAUCAGGUAGGGAUACCCGCUGAACUUAAGCAUAUCAAUAAGCGGAGGA